rnacentral:rRNA from 1 species
GACGAACGCUGGCGGCGUGCUUAACACAUGCAAGUCGAACGGUGAAAGCGGAGCUUGCUCCGCUGGAUCAGUGGCGAACGGGUGAGUAACACGUGGGCAACCUGCCCCUGACUUCGGGAUAACUCCUCGAAAGAGGUGCUAAUACCGGAUACGAAUCCUGCAGGCAUCUGUGGGAUUGGAAAGUUUUUCGGUCAGGGAUGGGCCCGCGGCCUAUCAGCUUGUUGGUGAGGUAGUGGCUCACCAAGGCGACGACGGGUAGCCGGCCUGAGAGGGCGACCGGCCACACUGGGACUGAGACACGGCCCAGACUCCUACGGGAGGCAGCAGUGGGGAAUAUUGCGCAAUGGGCGCAAGCCUGAUGCAGCGACGCCGCGUGAGGGAUGACGGCCUUCGGGUUGUAAACCUCUUUCAGCAUCGACGAAGCGAAAGUGACGGUAGGUGCAGAAGAAGGACCGGCCAACUACGUGCCAGCCGCCGCAGUAA